rnacentral:lncRNA from 1 species
AGUUCCAUACCUGUGGAAUUUCUUUACCACUGCUAUAAUAAAGGUUUAUGAUGUGCGUCCAGUUUUUGAAGCUGCUUCUCCUUUGAAAAUUAUGUCUGAAAGAAUAGCGAACAUUGCAUCUGGAACAAAAAAAUCCAGCUUCUCUGACAGCAAAGAUCCUCAGAUAACCCUGAUCACAGAGUAGGAUAAAGACUUCUUCUCCAACUUUAAAAGAAAGUAACAUUUCUGAGCAUUUCUCUUUUUAAAUAAAAAAUAU